GACCCAAAUGGUAACAGGUGCGGGAAG
rnacentral:piRNA from 1 species